GCCAGACUCCUACGGGAGGCAGCAGUGGGGGAUAUUGGACAAUGGGGGAAACCCUGAUCCAGCGACGCCGCGUGAGUGAAGAAGUAUUUCGGUAUGUAAAGCUCUGUCAGCAGGGAAGAAAGAAAUGACGGUACCUGACCAAGAAGCCCCGGCUAACUACGUGCCAGCAGCCGCGGUAAUACGUAGGUGGCAAGCGUUGUCCGGAUUUACUGGGUGUAAAGGGCGUGCAGCCGGGAGGACAAGUCAGAUGUGAAAUCCCGCGGCUCAACCGCGGAACUGCAUUUGAAACUGUUUUUCUUGAGUACCGGAGAGGUCAUCGGAAUUCCUUGUGUAGCGGUGAAAUGCGUAGAUAUAAGGAAGAACACCAGUGGCGAAGGCGGAUGACUGGACGGCAACUGACGGUGAGGCGCGAAAGCGUGGGGAGCAAACAGGAUUAGAUACCCGUGUAGG
rnacentral:rRNA from 1 species